GAUGAACGCUGGCGGCGUGCCUAAUACAUGCAAGUCGAGCGAACAGAUGAGGAGCUUGCUCCUCUGACGUUAGCGGCGGACGGGUGAGUAACACGUGGAUAACCUACCUAUAAGACUGGGAUAACUUCGGGAAACCGGAGCUAAUACCGGAUAAUAUAUUGAACCGCAUGGUUCAAUAGUGAAAGACGGUUUUGCUGUAACUUAUAGAUGGAUCCGCGCCGCAUUAGCUAGUUGGUAAGGUAACGGCUUACCAAGGCAACGAUGCGUAGCCGACCUGAGAGGGUGAUCGGCCACACUGGAACUGAGACACCGACCAGACUCCUACGGGAGGCAGCAGUAGGGAAUCUUCCGCAAUGGGCGAAAGCCUGACGGAGCAACGCCGCGUGAGUGAUGAAGGUCUUCGGAUCGUAAAACUCUGUUAUUAGGGAAGAACAAAUGUGUAAGUAACUAUGCACGUCUUGACGGUACCUAAUCAGAAAGCCACGGCUAACUACGUG
rnacentral:rRNA from 1 species